GCUUAUACUCGACCGUCAGCGGCACGUGCGAUCGCGCGAACUUUCACGAGCGAGCGCGGUCACGAAGCCCUGACGAGUAGGAGGGUCGCGGCGGUGAGCGCAGAAGGGCUGGCCGCGAGGCCGUCUGGAGCCGCCGUCGGUGCAGAUCUUGGUGGUAGUAGCAAAUACUCCAGCGAGGCCCUGGAGGACUGACGUGGAGAAGGGUUUCGUGUGAACAGCCGUUGCACACGAGUCAGUCGAUCCUAAGCCCUAGGCGAAAGCCGAUGUCGAUGCGGUGUAGUUUUUACGAUAAAUAGAUAGAUAGAUAGACGAAAUUCGACGACUACGACGAAAGAAACAUUAAUUCGUCGUCUAGUCGUUGUUGUCGUCGUCGUCGUCAUAAGUCUAAUUAAUAACGCGAGAGCACACACCCGUCGGGCGAAAGGGAAUCCGGUUCCUAUUCCGGAACCUGGCAGCGGAACCGUCAAAAAGUCGGGC
rnacentral:rRNA from 1 species